rnacentral:sRNA from 1 species
UCCAGUUGGAGUGAAUAGUUUCAGUGAUGUAAUAAGAUACUCUGGCACAUUCUGGCUGCUAGAAAGGGUGUAUAGAAAUUCAGGUGUGCCCCUGCUGAUGUGAUUUUUCUGUCAGGACCUUGCAAAAUGGAAAGAUCGUCGAAAAAGUUACACUUCAGAUCUGCAGAAGAAAAAGGAAGAGAGGGAAGAAAUUGAAAAGCAGGCACUUGAGAAGUCUGAGAGAAGCUCUAAGACGUUUAAGGAAAUGCUGCAGGACAGGGAAUCCCAAAAUCAAAAGUCUACAGUUCCGUCGAGAAGGAGAAUGUAUUCUUUUGAUGAUGUGCUGGAGGAAGGAAAGCGACCCCCUACAAUGACUGUGUCAGAAGCAAGUUACCAGAGUGAGAGAGUAGAAGAGAAGGGAGCAACUUAUCUUUCAGAAAUUCCCAAAGAAGAUUCUACCACUUUCGCAAAAAGAGAGGACCGUGUAACAACUGAAAUUCAGCUUCCUUCUCAAAGUCCUGUGGAAGAACAAUGCCCAGCCUCUUUGUCUUCUCUGCGUUCACGCAGCACACAAAUGGAGUCAACUCGUGUUUCAGCUUCUCUCCCCAGAAGUUAC